GGCUUCGUAGCUCAGCUGGUAGAUCGGUUACCGCAUUGAAGUAUGCUGUGUCUGUCGGUGGUUCGAAUCCAGCCGAAGCCC
rnacentral:tRNA from 1 species